GGCGUCAUAGCUCAGUUGGGAGAGCAGCAGACUGAAGUUGAAAAUGAAGCACAUCAAUAAUCUGAAGGUCCGGUGUUCGAGCCACCGUGAUGCCA